CAUUUUUUUUUCACCCGCGCGCGUGUUUGAUCCUGUUUGUGUGGCGCAGUUGAAAUCAAAAAUUCUCAAGUCGAAUCGCGUGUGCUCGUGAAGGAACAACAUCCGGCGUUCGGAACAAAUACACCGGGUGACCGAAUCGGAACGGCUCUGGGAUGGCGGAAUUUUCGCAUAUUUGGGGACUUCUUCUACCAGGCCCGGCGCCUGCUGCGGACACUUCCGGCCGGAUUUGUUCAGGAUGGUCGUUUCGUCUGGAGGCGAAAAUCGUUAGGGGCCUAUUCCACUGAGGAUUGUGCUUCAUAAAUACGCGAGAGUUCAUCCCAAGUACGAAGCAGUAGUUCUGGCACCGGCUACAAACAUUGCGAACAACGUCAGAAAGUUCGGAUUGAAGCAGAAUAUUAAAAGAAAACGACGCGGAAAAA
rnacentral:lncRNA from 1 species